AUCAGAUUUUGUGGUUUGUCAGAUGAAGCAGAGGUGUUUUUCAGUGUGCUGACAGUGCAGGAGGUUUUUGUACGGCUGUUUAAUGUGUUUGUAUCACUGUGGUGGACUUUUGGUGGAGGAACCGAACUCAUCGUUGACUUGGGAGUGGUGCGGCCCAUCCUGACCGUUCUCCCCCCGUCCACAGCGGAGCUGCAGCAGAACACUUCCACCCUGGUGUGUCUGGCCAAUGGGGGCUUCCCCUCAUCCUGGACCCUGGGCUGGAAGGUUCCGUGCAGCUGCAGCUCCUUGGAGGUGUCCCACAGCCCAAAGAUCCUGGGGGCUGACGGCCACUACAGCUGGAGCAGCACCCUGAGGCUGACUGCAGACCAGUGGAGGAAGGCGGGCUCAGUGAGCUGUGAGGCCACUCUGAAUGGACAAAGCCCUGUCACUCAAAGCCUGGACCCCGAGUCCUGCUGAGAGUAAAGCAUUAGAGUCCAGACCAGGUUGCAAAUGUCUGCUCUGUGUUUUCAGCCUCAUGUCGCUUUGAUCCUUAGACAUUUUCUGCUUCAUGUUCAUUACUUUGGGAAAAAAAAAAAAAAAUAGUGUUAGCUUUGUGAUAUGUUUUCAAAAAGAUGUGGGAUGAAAUAAA